rnacentral:rRNA from 1 species
AUUGAACGCCGGCGGAAUGCUUUACUCAUGCAAGUCGAACGGCAGCACGGACUUCGGUCUGGUGGCGAGUGGCGAACUGGUGAGUAAUGUAUCGGAACGUGCCCAGUCGUGGGGGAUAACGUAGUGAAAAUUACGCUAAUACCGCAUACGAUCUAUGGAUGAAAGCGGGGGAUCGCAAGACCUCGCGCGAUUGGAGCGGCCGAUAUCAGAUUAGGUAGUUGGUGGGGUAAAGGCCCACCAAGCCAACGAUCUGUAGCUGGUCUGAGAGGACGACCAGCCACACUGGAACUGAGACACGGUCCAGACUCCUACGGGAGGCAGCAGUGGGGAAUUUUGGACAAUGGGCGAAAGCCUGAUCCAGCCAUUCCGCGUGCAGGAUGAAGGCCCUCGGGUUGUAAACUGCUUUUGUACAGAACGAAAAGGUUUCUACUAAUACUAGGAGCUCAUGACGGUACUGUAAGAAUAAGCACCGGCUAACUACGUGCCAGCAGCCGCCGCCG